GACGUAGGGCGCGAGCGUUGUCCGGAUUUAUUGGGCGUAAAGAGCUCGUAGGCGGCUUGUCGCGUCGACUGUGAAAACCCGUGGCUCAACCAUGUGGUCUGCAGUCGAUACGGGCAGGCUAGAAUUCGGUAGGGGAGACUGGAGUUCCUGGUGUAGCGGUGAAAUGCGCAGAUAUCAGGAGGAACACCGGUGGCGAAGGCGGGUCUCUGGGCCGAUAUUGACGCUGAGGAGCGAAAGCGUGGGGAGCGAACAGG
rnacentral:rRNA from 1 species